rnacentral:rRNA from 1 species
GGUAAAGCUGGGAACUCUGGGGAGACUGCCGGUGAUAAACCGGAGGAAGGCGGGGAUGACGUCAAGUCCUCAUGGCCCUUACAUCCCGGGCUACACACGUGCUACAAUGGCAGGUACAGAGGGCUGCGAAGCCGCGAGGUGGAGCGAAUCCCAGAAAAACCUGUCUCAGUCCGGAUUGAAGUCUGCAACUCGACUUCAUGAAGGCGGAAUCGCUAGUAACCGCGAAUCAGCAGGUCGCGGUCGAAUACGUUCCCGGGCCUU